rnacentral:rRNA from 1 species
GACGAACGCUGGCGGCGUGCUUAACACAUGCAAGUCGAACGGAAAGGCCCUGCUUUUGUGGGGUGCUCGAGUGGCGAACGGGUGAGUAACACGUGAGUAACCUGCCCUUGACUUUGGGAUAACUUCAGGAAACUGGGGCUAAUACCGGAUAGGAGCUCCUGCUGCAUGGUGGGGGUUGGAAAGUUUCGGCGGUUGGGGAUGGACUCGCGGCUUAUCAGCUUGUUGGUGGGGUAGUGGCUUACCAAGGCUUUGACGGGUAGCCGGCCUGAGAGGGUGACCGGCCAAAUUGGGACUGAGAUACGGCCCAGAAUCCUACGGGAGGCAGGAGGGGGGAAUAUUGCAAAAUGGGCGGAAGCCUGAAGCAGCAACGCCGCGUGCGGGAAGAAGGCCUUCGGGUUGUAAACCGCUUUCGCCUGUGACGAAGCGUGAGUGACGGUAAUGGGUAAAGAAGCACCGGCUAACUACGUG